UGUAGACAGAAAAAUUAAAAUUAAGGGCCAAGGCAUUUCCUGUGGAUCUGUGCAUAUGCAUAGUGGGGAGUCAUGGAGGAAGGACCUACUACCCAGCUCCGAAGGGAAAUGGCAGGGAGGAGGUCUCUUCUGCUUAGGAAAAGAUGGCAGGAGACACAGUUGACUUCUUCGGGUGUGCUCGGUGGCACCCUGGCCAUUGACCCACCUGUCCCGUUAGGGAGAAGAAAGGAGCUGGCAGCUAGGCAGGCUUAUGUGGACCACAGCUUCCUCACAACAGUGCACUUAUCAGGACUGCAGGAGCCUUUUACCCAACCAAAAUCACAGUUCCUAGUUGACACUUGAAAACCCUAUCAUUCCAUCAGAUGUACAUAUGUGUGCAAAAAUUAAGUCUACAUUUCCAUCCAAAUGGAAAUGCAGUACUGUGGUCCCUCAGCAUCUAUGGGGGCCGAUCCCAGGACUUCCUUGCAUGACCGUAACGGAGGAUGCCCAAGUCCCUCUGUAAAAUUUGCAAACAACAAGCACACAUCUUCCUGGGUAUUUUCAGCUGUCUUCAGAUCAUUUCUAAUACCUAAAACAAUGUAAAUGGUAUGGAAACAGUUGUCUUCCUCAGGAAAUAAGGACUGGGAAAACUCUGCACGUGUUUGGUACAGAUAUAGAUUUAUAUUUAUUUAUAUAUAAAUAUAGGGAGACAGAUAAAUAUGGAGACACUUUUAUAUCAUUGGUAUACACUAUGUAAUGUAUAGUGAAAUUCUACAUUAAAUAUACUAUAUUUAUUUACAUACUAUAUUCAAUCAAACUUCAUGCUAAAAUUUGAGUACUUCUUUAGAAAAAAAUUCAAUGUGCAAAUCUGCAUGGGAUGUUAAUAUUAGAUCUAACUAAAGAUCUAAGUAUCUAAUUUUUAAAGCAAUUUCAAAGGCCCAUCCACAGUGUGCCCUAUGCAGUGAUUAACUCACAGCUUUCAAACACUGAUACUCGAGGUGCAAAUGGCAAGACCUCGGACUCCUCCACAAAGGCAGUGGAGGGGUGCCCUGUUCUCCUUCUUUGUCACUAAGAGAUUGCCUCUUCGCUAGCAUGCAAGGACAAUAGCAGGAACAGGACACAGCAGGAAGAAGAAUACACAGAGCCCUGGAUUCUAAUCAAAACACUCCCACUAGCCAGCAAAAUAAUUCUAGGAACUUAAAUGUCCAAAAUCCUAAAAUGAGAUCCUGAAUAAGAGCCUUCUGAAAAUUAUAAAGUGUAAGAUAAGUAUAAAGCAGCUCUUUCAUUCCCUUUAAUAAGCAGUUGUGCUUCCUUUGUAAAGUUUCUAAAUGUCAAGUUGGGAGGGGCUUCAGGCUAGACAGAAGAACGCUGAACAGACAAGGAACACUUGUUAGCUGCUGAGACAACUGACCAUUUGUCUCUAAGAUAAUAUUUGUGUGAAAUAUAUGUAAGUAGUUCUACAGCUUUUUAUAAUUUCUGUCAUGCUUUUCAAAAGGGCUACGUGCAGCUCAUCC
rnacentral:lncRNA from 1 species